UGAAACAGAAGAGAAGCAAACUGUGAAGACAGACUGUUUUGUGAAAUCAUAAUCCAUGAAGUAUGCCAUCUGUGAGCUAGCACAGUUCUCAACCUGCAAUGGCUCCCCACUGCAAUCUGAUAGGCAGUCAAAUUAGGCGGGGACAACCAACUGCAUUUUACACACGAGGAAACAGGCUCCGAGGGUGAGCUGCCUGGGCCAUGAGUCCAGCCCAGCUCUCUGACUUCAAAGCCCAAGGGUAACUGUUGAACUACUGAUUUUUCAGUGCAAAGGAAAGAAUACUCUCUUCCAUGACACC